rnacentral:rRNA from 1 species
UACGGGGGGGGGCAAGCGUUGUUCGGAAUUACUGGGCGUAAAGGGCUCGUAGGCGGCCAACUAAGUCAGACGUGAAAUCCCUCGGCUUAACCGGGGAACUGCGUCUGAUACUGGAUGGCUUGAGUUUGGGGAGAGGGAUGCGGAAUUCCAGGUGUAGCGGUAGAAAUGCGUAGAUAUCUGGAGGAACACCGGUGGCGGAAGGCGGCAUCCUGGACCAACACUGACGCUGAGGAGCGAAAGCCAGGGGAGCAAACAGG